CUUGUCCUUGAUGAUUUACCUGAACCAAUCUUGAGUUUAACGACCUUGAGAAAAUGUUCAUGCACUACCAUCUGAGACAAA